rnacentral:misc_RNA from 1 species
AGCGGCCGCGGUUUAAUUACCCAAGUUUGAG